rnacentral:rRNA from 1 species
AUACGUAGGUGGCAAGCGUUGUCCGGAUUUAUUGGGCGUAAAGCGAGCGCAGGCGGUUUUUUAAGUCUGAUGUGAAAGCCUUCGGCUUAACCGGAGAAGUGCAUCGGAAACUGGGAGACUUGAGUGCAGAAGAGGACAGUGGAACUCCAUGUGUAGCGGUGGAAUGCGUAGAUAUAUGGAAGAACACCAGUGGCGAAGGCGGCUGUCUAGUCUGUAACUGACGCUGAGGCUCGAAAGUAUGGGGAGCGAACAGGAUUAGAUACCCUGGUAGUCCAUACCGUAAACGAUGAAUGCUAAGUGUUGGAGGGUUUCCGCCCUUCAGUGCUGCAGCUAACGCAUUAAGUUCCCCGCCUGGGGAGUACGGCCGCAAGGCUAAA